rnacentral:tRNA from 1 species
CAAUAAAUAGUUUAAUAAAAAUUUAAGUUUUGGGAAUUUAAGAUGUAAUUUUUUACUUUAUUGA